UACGUAGGGCGCAAGCGUUGUCCGGAAUUACUGGGCGUAAAGCGUGUGUGGGCGGCUUGGUAAGUCGGAUGUGAAAGCCCUGGGCUUAACCCAGGAAGUGCAUCCGAUACUGUCAAGCUUGAGUCCUGGAGAGGGGUGUGGAAUUCCCGGUGUAGAGGUGAAAUUCGUAGAUAUCGGGAGGAACACCAGUGGCGAAGGCGACACCCUGGAUGGAGACUGACGCUGAGGUG
rnacentral:rRNA from 1 species